AAUAGAUACCCGGGUAGUCCACGCCCUAAACGAUGCUCACUAGGUGUUGGGGAAGCGAUUCCUUGGUACCGUAGCUAACGCGUGAAGUGAGCCGCCUGGGGAGUACGGCCGCAAGGUUAAAACUCAAAGGAAUUGACGGGGACCCGCACAAGCGGUGGAUGAUGUGGAUUAAUUCGAUGCAACGCGAACAACCUUACCUACCCUUGACAUGUCCGGAAGCCUGCUGAAAGGUGGGUGUGCUCGAAAGAGAACCGGAACACAGGUGCUGCAUGGCUGUCGUCAGCUCGUGUCGUGAGAUGUUGGGUUAAGUCCCGCAACGAGCGCAACCCUUGUCCCUAGUUGCUACGCAAGGGCACUCUAGGGAGACUGCCGGUGACAAACCGGAGGAAGGUGGGGAUGACGUCAAGUCCUCAUGGCCCUUAUGGGUAGGGCUUCACACGUCAUACAAUGGACGGUACAGAGGGUUGCCAACCCGCGAGGGGGAGCCAAUCCCAGAAAGCCGUUCGUAGUCCGGAUCGCAGUCUGCAACUCGACUGCGUG
rnacentral:rRNA from 1 species